UACAGGGGUCCCAAGCGUUGUUCGGAUUCACUGGGCGUAAAGGGUGCGUAGGCGGUCGGGUAAGUCUGAUGUGAAAUCUCGGGGCCUAACCCCGAAACUGCAUUGGAUACUAUUCGGCUUGAGGAAUGGAGGGGAGACUGGAAUGCUCGGUGUAGCAGUGAAAUGCGUAGAUAUCGAGCGGAACACCAGUGGCGAAGGCGAGUCUCUGGACAUCUCCUGACGCUGAGGCACGAAAGCCAGGGGAGCAAACAGG
rnacentral:rRNA from 1 species